rnacentral:lncRNA from 1 species
ACAGCAUACCCUUUUUGAUGUUGCCUAGAACGUCCCAUGAGGAAAAAUAUCUUGAUUGCAACAUGUACAAAUUGGAUCUCAAGAUUUUCUCACGAUCUGAAAGGACAAACAGAUGGGUUAUGAAAGCACUAAUACUUGUUCAAUAAACACACGUCUGUUACUAGCCAACCUGAUAAAAAUUCUGCAAAACUUGUAUUAGAGCCUGUUCCUACAAAUCCCAUAAUCCACAGCCACCACCUCUUCGCGCUCUUCACUUCAGCAGGAAGUUUAUUAGCUCACGGUGCCAAUUCUGUUGAAACAGUCCUGUGUCUACACACACACUGGUGGAGGUUGGAAGAAUUCUGCUUUUUA